rnacentral:miRNA from 1 species
UGGAGGCGGGGCUGCCGGGUCU